rnacentral:lncRNA from 1 species
CCCUCAGUCAAUCUGCCAUUCAAGAGGAAAUAUUACACAGUAUUUAUUUUACACAAAACACCACCAGCACUCAUCACUCUGCCAGUCUACCAGGAAACUCACAGAAAGUUUUUAAAAAUGGUGUUACGGAGACUUUUUUCCCUCACUAUCUCACUUUCUCUCACUAUAGAAAUCCCCCUCUUUCUCACACUCUAACAUAUCAGCCUCCAGUCCUAUUUAUGGGCACAAGAUCAUAGAGAUAUACAAGAAAAUGAAUCUAAAACUCAGUUACAUCUAAUACCAGAAAAUUUGUUAGAAUCUCUAAAGCUCCCAACUAAUUUUCUAACUCAUUUAACUAAUUUUCUAACCAAUGAGUUUAACAACAGAAUCAAGAUUGACUAAAAAACACCCUGCAUGGUUGAACAUCCAGCUUUAACCUUCAGCAAUCUAAUGCCUCAUGCAUCUUGCUAACUUGAAUUAUUUUUUAUGAGCAAAUCAGCCAAUCAACUUCAGUAGCUUCAGCUUCAUAAUCUGCAUCCUCCACUUACAUCUCAUUAUGCAGAUUUUCAGCUCCACCAUUUUGGUCAGUUUCUUGUGAUGAGUCCUUUAAGUCUGAAUGGAUAUAUCCAAGAUCAGCUUUGGUUAUAUGAGUAACAGAUGCAAAAUUAAACAUGUGGGCUUUUCCCAACUCUAGUAACCCUUUGGCACUCUUGUGUUCAAGCCUUCCAUGCCACAACCCGACUUGAUCUUCCUUGCUUUCAGAAAUAGUAACUUCACCGUUGACUGCUGUGCGUUGCAAAAUAUACAGACCCUUUUGCAACAGAUCUUUCAUCACAACCAAAGAUCCCUUCAUAACCUCGAGUGCUCCACCUUGAGCCUUGUAGAUGCAACCAAAUUCAUCCAUAGCUCCGAAUGAGAUCAAAUUCUUCUCAAGGCCUGUAUAUGCCUUACACCACUCAAGAUUAGAGUAGUACUAUCCCACAUUUUCAGCUUAAUAGCUCCCACACCCACCACAUCCAGCUACUGUUAUUUCCUAGCAAAGCUUUACUCCCAUGAUCUGGUUUGUACUCCAAGAAAAGGUCUCGUCUAGGUGUCAUAUGAAAUGUGCACCCAAAAUCCAUUACCCAUUCAUCCUUGGUGUCUAAAUAUGUCACAAACAGAACAUCAGUAGUUUUAU